UAUUUCCGUUCCUAAGGGAGAACUUCCGGGAGCGACAGAAGUAAAGGUUACCCAGCUAGAAACUGAGUCAGGAUCCUUCUGCGUUAUUACCGGUUUCCUGGAUUCUGGGGAAGGCGCCAUCGUGGAAGAACCGUUCCCGGACAGGCUGCCCUUGAACUUGUAACCCAGGCUGGCUUUGAACUUAUGGUGAUCCUCCUGCCUCAGGCUCCUGAGUGCUGGGGUUACAGGAGUGAGCCACCACACCUGGCUCCACAAAUGUCUUCAUACAUCAGUAAAAUAAGCGAUGCAUUUUCCCAAGCAAAAUAGUUUAUUUCAAUUGUUAAUUUGAGGCAAAUUUUGACAUGCAUGAGAAAUUGUAUGAGAACAGAUAAAAUUUUGGUCAAACAAAAUGAAGGGAUGCAUGCUAAAAGCAAAAUAUUUUAUAUCUACAGUAAUUAUAUAAUAUUAGCACUCAAGUGUGGCAAAUACAUCCUAAUUUGAACUGAUUUAUCUAAAUAGUACAUAUUUUAAUAAUUGUUAUUAGGCAAUAUGUAUAUACUUGUGUGAAAAUCAAAAUAUAUGUAUAUGUAUAAGCUUAGUAUAUGUGACAGUUUCGGUAUUUCAGAUAUUUACAAAAUGAUAGAAUAUUUAACCAAUCAUACAUCAAACAAUUCAGAAAAUAAGUGAAAACAAGAACAAUAUAUUUCUGGUUUUCUAUAGCAAGGGAUAUGGCCAUUAUCUUCUAUGUUUGGCAGGGAUGCAAUAAUCUUCAGGGAAGUUGGAAAACUGUAGCAGAAAAAAUGGAAGGCUUUGGGGGCACCCUGGUAGUAUGUUUUUGGCAUGGUGAAGCUAGUCCUAGCCCAGCUAGAGGUGGAACAUUUUACAUGACUGACCAGGGGAGCAUAUUUGGUCCCCUCCACUUGGUCCUGAGUUAGAAACAGGGGCCACAAUGAAGUGUUGGCAGUCCUCACUGUUUGAGCCUGGUUACUGUAGAAUUUGUGGUUUGGCUUCAGUGGCUUCUUACUGCAUAAGCUGUUGUUAUUUAUGGUCUGUUGAUUCUCGGUUUCUGUGUUGUUUCUUACAGUAGAUACAAAAAUAAUUGUACAUAGAAAAUUAAUAUAUUUAAUGUGAUUGAUAAAUAUAACAUUUUCAAUAAAUAGUAAGCUUUUCUGUUUAUUAUGAUACCAAAUUACUGAGAAAAAAAAUGAUACUGGGUUUGGGGAAAUUAAAGUGGUGUCUUUAAGCAAAUUUUAAAUUUUUCCUACGAAUUAUAAAUAGUAAUUUUCCUUCUAGGGUUAUCGUCAACAAAGCUACUUACAAAUAUGCAUAAAAUUUUGGUUAAUAAAUGGUGAAACGUCUGUCUUUUGUUUUGGGGAUUUUUGUUUGUUUUUUUGAGACAGAAUCUUGCUUUGCAG
rnacentral:lncRNA from 1 species